GUCUACAGUCCUACUGCCCUGAACACGCCCAAUCUUGUCUGAUCUUGGAAGCCAAGCAGGGUCACGCCUGGGUGGUACUUGGAUCUGAGAAGUGUUCAAUCACUAUAUUGUGCACC
ensembl:rRNA 5S_rRNA 5S ribosomal RNA